rnacentral:rRNA from 1 species
CCUACGGGACGCAGCAGUAGGGAAUUUUCGUCAAUGGGCGCAAGCCUGAACGAGCGAUGCCGCGUGAGUGAAGAAGGCCUUCGGGUCGUAAAGUUCUGUUGCGGGGGAAAAAAGGCAGCAUCAGGAAAUGGCUGCUGACUGAUGGUGCCCCGCUAGAAAGUCACGGCUAACUACGUGCCAGCAGCCGCGGUAAUACGUAGGUGGCGAGCGUUGUCCGGAUUUAUUGGGCGUAAAGCGAGUGCAGGCGGUUCAAUAAGUAUGAUGUGAAAGCCUUCGGCUUAACCGGGGAAGUGCAUUAGAAACUG